UACGUAGGUGGCGAGCGUUGUCCGGAAUUACUGGGUGUAAAGGGCGUGUAGGCGGGAUUGCAAGUCAGAUGUGAAAUUCUUGGGCUUAACUCAAGAGCUGCAUCUGAAACUGUGAUUCUUGAGUACUGGAGAGGAUAGUGGAAUUCCUAGUGUAGCGGUGAAAUGCGUAGAUAUUAGGAGGAACACCAGUGGCGAAGGCGGCUAUCUGGACAGUAACUGACGCUGAGGCGCGAAAGCGUGGGGAGCAAACAGG
rnacentral:rRNA from 1 species